rnacentral:rRNA from 1 species
AGUGAACGCUGGCGGUAGGCCUAACACAUCCAAGUCGAACGGCAGCACAGUAAGAGCUUGCUCUUACGGGUGGCGAGUGGCGGACGGGUGAGGAAUACAUCGGAAUCUACUUUUUCGUGGGGGAUAACGUAGGGAAACUUACGCUAAUACCGCAUACGACCUACGGGUGAAAGCAGGGGAUCUUCGGACCUUGCGCGAUUGAAUGAGCCGAUGUCGGAUUAGCUAGUUGGCGGGGUAAAGGCCCACCAAGGCGACGAUCCGUAGCUGGUCUGAGAGGAUGAUCAGCCACACGGGAACUGAGACACGGUCCAGACUCCUACGGGAGGCAGCAGUGGGGAAUAUUGGACAAUGGGCGCAAGCCUGAUCCAGCCAUACCGCGUGGGUGAAGAAGGCCUUCGGGUUGUAAAGCCCUUUUGUUGGGAAAGAAAAGCAGCAGGUUAAUACCCCGCUGUUCUGACGGUACCCAAAGAAUAAGCACCGGCUAACUUCGUG